rnacentral:rRNA from 1 species
CGCGUAGGUGGUUGCGUAAGUCGGAUGUGAAAUCCCCAGGCUUAACCUGGGAACUGCAUCCGAUACUGCAUGACUCGAGUGCAGCAGAGGGAAACGGAAUUCCUGGUGUAGAGGUGAAAUUCGUAGAUAUCAGGAGGAACACCGGUGGCGAAGGCGGUUUCCUGGGCUGACACUGACACUGAGGCGCGAAAGCGUGGGUAGCAAACAGGAUUAGAUACCCUGGUAGUCCACGCUGUAAACGGUGAGUGCUGGGUGUGGGAGGUGUAAUGCCUUCUGUGCCGAAGCUAACGCGUUAAGCACUCCGCCUGGGGACGUACGGCCGCAAGGUUGAAA